GCGGCAGGCUUAACACAUGCAAGUCGAGGGGUAACAGGGAUUGCUUGCAAUCCGCUGACGACCGGCGCACGGGUGCGUAACGCGUAUGCAACCUACCUUUUACUGGGGGAUAGACAAGAGAAAUUUUGAAUAAUACCCCAUACGAUCUGAUUCACUCCUGUGAAACAGAAGAAAAUUUCGAUGGUAAAAGAUGGGCAUGCGUCCUAUUAGUUUGUUGGUGAGGUAACGGCUCACCAAGACUACGAUAGGUAGGGGUCCUGAGAGGGAGAUCCCCCACACUGGUACUGAGACACGGACCAGACUCCUACGGGAGGCAGCAGUGAGGAAUAUUGGACAAUGGAGGAAACUCUGAUCCAGCCAUGCCGCGUGCAGGAAGACGGCCCUAUGGGUUGUAAACUGCUUUUAUACAGGAAGAAACGCUAGUACGUGUACUAGCCUGACGGUACUGUAAGAAUAAGGAUCGGCUAACUCCGUGCCAGCAGCCGCGGCAAUACGGAGGAUCCAAGCGUUAUCCGGAAUCAUUGGGUUUAAAGGGUCCGCAGGCGGUCUAAUAAGUCAGAGGUGAAAUCCUAUCGCUCAACGAUAGAACUGCCUUUGAUACUGUUAGACUUGAGUUAUUGUGAAGUAGUUAGAAUGUGUAGUGUAGCGGUGAAAUGCAUAGAUAUUACACAGAAUACCGAUUGCGAAGGCAGAUUACUAACAAUACACUGACGCUCAGGGACGAAAGCGUGGGUAGCGAACAGGAUUAGAUACCCUGGUAGUCC
rnacentral:rRNA from 1 species